ensembl:snRNA U1 U1 spliceosomal RNA
AUACUUACCUGGCAGGGGAGAUACCUUGACCAAGAAGGCAGUUCACCCGGGGACGAGGCUCUGCCAUUGCACUUCGACUGUGCUGACCCCUGUGAAUUCUGAAAAUGUGGGAAUCUCAACUGCAUAAUUUGUGGUAGUGGGGGACUGCGCUCGCACUCUUCCCUG